rnacentral:lncRNA from 1 species
UGUAACAAUAAUUAUUGAUGCUACGGUUACAUUGCGUUAUUGUUACAUGAAAAACAGCAAUGUAUGCUAGAUUUAUUAAACUUAAAUCUUCUAUAGUUUUGUUGCUUAUUUUUUUCAUAGGUACUAAAUAAUACUUGUAAUAAUGAUAAAUAACAAAUAUUACUUUUCAACAAAUGGUGUUUAAAUAUUUUUAUGUAUUAAUGGUUUUGAUGUUCUUAAAUAUUCUACUUCAGAUUAGUAGUGCCAAAGGCGAAAAAAUAUAGUUCAAUGGUUUGUUGUUGAGAACUCUGACUGAUAAAAGUGUUCACUUUUAAGUAUUUAAAUG